UAAUACGGAGGGUGCAAGCGUUGUCCGGAUUUAUUGGGUUUAAAGGGUGCGUAGGCGGCUUGAUAAGUCCGUGGUGAAAGCCAACAGCUCAACUGUUGAACUGCCAUGGAUACUGUCAGGCUUGAGUACAGACGAGGUAGGCGGAAUGGAUCGUGUAGCGGUGAAAUGCAUAGAUACGAUCCAGAACACCGAUUGCGUAGGCAGCUUACUAGGCUGUAACUGACGCUGAGGCACGAAAGCGUGGGGAGCGAACAGGAUUAGAUACCCUGGUAGUCCACGCUGUAAACGAUGAUAACUCGAUGUUGGCGAUACACAGUCAGCGUCUUAGCGAAAGCGUUAAGUUAUCCACCUGGGGAGUACGCCCGCAAGGGUG
rnacentral:rRNA from 1 species